AAAAAGGGCAUUUCUUGGGAGUUCCUGUUGUGGCACAGCAGAAACAAAUCCGACUAGGAACCAUGAGAUUGCGGGUUCGAUCCCUGGCCUUGCUCAGUGGGUUAAGGACCUGGCGUUGCCAUGAGCUGUGGUGUAGGUCUCAGACUCGGCUUGGAUCUGGCAUUGCUGUGGCUCUGGUGUAGGCUGGCAGCUACAGCUCCGAUUAGACCCCUAGCCUGAGAACCUCCAUAUGCCGAGGGUGCGGCCCUAAAAGGACAAAAAGACCAAAAAAAAAAAAAAAAGGCAUUUCUCCAUCAUGGGGCUCCAAAUUUGGUUCAGCUGUGGGUACUGCCAAACAGGCUUCAAAUGUAUCAUUCGGGCCUGUUAGGUGGAGCCGGUAUACUUCUUCCCUGGCCUCAUCAAUGAUCAUUCUUUCACGUCCUGUAAGCAUAGCCUCCCUAUAAGGAGGGUUGUGAUCUGUCCAAUUAAGCAAAUUUGAGGUGGAGAAACGACUAUGCAUCCAUAGAAACCCAGCUUGGCUGUUUGCAUUUAGGCCUCCUGAGGGAUAAUGGUGUAAGGGAAAUUUCCCUGCUCCAGCAGUGGCUCUUGGGUCUUAGAUGGCGACUCCAGGCCAGGUUCUUGCAUUAGCAGAGGAUUUUCUAACUAAGCCCUAUAAAGAGGGGGGGUAUAUUGGCAUAAGGGCUGCACAGCAGUGAUAGCCAGCUUGGCUAGAGGUUGGAGCAACAUAUCCUUACCCUUGUUCCCUUUUUUCCUGUAUGACACAUUUUCCCUUGGGUUUUUUUUUUUUUUUUUUUUUUUAACAUAAGGUAACAGCUGUCUGACUUUUUCCCUCCCCGAUGUAAUAGCACAAAUGCUUGCACAUAGAGGAUUUUAUCACUCUUCCCUGCUUCUUCACAGAAGAGCUACAGAGCCACUCAAAGGCCACUGUAAAACCGUCCCUGUUCAACAGCAGAGGGACAGAAGAUGAGCCAGGCCAACUGCUUCCAUGCAAGACACGGGGAAAUACCAAGGCCUGGAGAGGCUGAGUGGCUUUUGCAAAGUAUGGCAUCCAAGAACCCUCUGUGGGAGAGGAGGAGCAGACCCCAGACAGUACCUCAAUGGAGAUGGUGAACCCAAGCUUUUCUCUAUCAGGGGAUCAAGAAGGACUUUCCAGAAGAGGAGCUACCUAAAUGAGGAACCAAGGUGUGAAGUUCUGUUGGACCUACCUGUGCUCUCACAGAUCAUAGAAGAUGAUGACCCUCUGCUGGUGGAGCCUCCCCCUCCCUCGAUGACUGGGAGCUGGGAGAGGAUAGCCACCCUCUUCCCACUCUUCAGCCCAGAGAAGCUCAGAGAGGCACAAAGGUCUAAGCCCUAAAGAAAGGUGACUUCAUUUUGUUUCUAUUCUUAGGUAUUUUGAAAUGAUUCUGCCAAUGUCCAGGAAACCUCUCUUGCAAUGUGGCAGCAUGAGGAAGUGCAUGAACAACCCUGAACUUGUAAGAUUCUUCUCUGGCUUUAAACAUACCCAUAUUGGAGUUUCUAUUGUGCCUCAGCAGUAACGAACCUGACUAGUAUCCAUGAGGAUGCAGAUUCAAUCCCUGGCCUUGCUCAGUGGGUUAAGGAUCCGGCUUUGCUGUGAGCUUGUGAUCUGAGACAAGGCUCAGAUCCUGAGUUGCUAUGGCUGUGACCAACAGCUACAGCUUCAAUUUGACCCCUAGCCUGGGAACUUCCAUAUGCUGUGGGUGUGGCCCUAAAAAGACCAAAAAAAAAAAAAAAAAAAAAAGAAAAGAAAAGAAAUGGGUGUAUUUUGUCCAUGUAAUUCAUCCAUGUCUAAGGACCCAGGUCCUUUCCUUGGGUGACUGUGAGGAAAAGUAAUUUUGGUAGAAAUAAGGGUGGACCUACAAAGUACAAGAGGCUUCUUGUUCAGACGUACUGCCACUAGAACUGCAGACACAGCUUCAAUUUACUUAGAGAUCUUAAUGUGAAAUAGCAUUAGGAUAGGCAGCUUGCAUUUAUUAUUUCUUUGAAUUCUCACAACCAACUUGCUGUCUCAUCGUCAUUUUACCGAUGAGGAAAUUGAUGGUCAAGAGAUGAAUGACUUACCCAAAGAUACAAACCUGUAAAGUAUGAUUCUUUUUUUUCUUUAAAAAAAAAAAAAUAGGCCCACACCCAUGGCAUAUGGAAGUUCCCAGGCUAUGGGUCAGAUUGGAGCUACAACUGCCUGCAACAGCCACAGCCACAGCCACAGCCAUGGGGGAUCCAAGCCGGGUGUGUGACCUACACCAAGCUCACGGCAAUGCCAGAUCCUUAACCCACUGAGCAAGGCCAGGGAUCAAACCUGCAUCCUCAUGGAUACUAGUUGGAUUCAUUUCUGCUGUUCCACGAGGGUAACUCCAUGUAAAAUAUAUUUCUAAUGAAUCAAAAGACUAUGUUUUAUUUCUUCCAUGACAACAUGCACGAGAAAAAUAUAUUCCUCAUCUACUUACUUGCUCAUUUAACAUUCACAGAGCAUCAGCCAAGUGUGGAGAACUGUUCUAGAUGCUGGCUUUUUUGGAGCUAAAGUGUGCAUCUGAGUGACUUGUUAUUAAAGCUCCUCAAAUAGGCCACACCAGAGGUUGGAAACACUUUAUUGUGCAGUUCUGUCAGUAAAAAAAUAAAAAAUUAGUCAGCACCUCA
ensembl:lncRNA